AAAGUUGUGCGAGGCGGUCCCUGGCACUGCCAGGUGGUCGCUUAGACAUCAACACCCUCUGUAUAUCUACCGCGUUGCUUUGGCGGGACGGCAGCCCUGCUGGGAAGCUGUCCGCAGGGCCUCUCAAGACCCUGCGAGCGCCCGCCGGAGAACCAUCAAACUCAUGUUAAACCGUGAUGUCUGAGCUUUAUAAGCAAUAAGUUA
rnacentral:misc_RNA from 1 species